rfam:Campylobacter mucosalis strain DSM 21682 contig00001, whole genome shotgun sequence.
GCAGCGGUAGUUCAGUUGGUUAGAAUGCCGCCCUGUCACGGCGGAGGUCGCGGGUUCGAGCCCCGUCCGCUGCG